UCUCUCUUUCUCUCUCUCUCCCUCACCUUCGCAGCAACCCAUGGUCGACAACCACCCCAGAUGGCCAUAGCUCCUCCAGGCGACCCUCAAAGGCUAAAAAACAGUAGCCAAUGGCAAGAAAUCCGGCACCCACGUGAAGAGAGAGAAAAUCGCCAUCUCCACUUUCAAGCUUCAUUUCAGGCAUUUUUGACCUCCAAUCGAAGUGAUUCUAGCAGCAUCAGAGUGAGAACUUUCAAAUGGGACCAACCUAGCCGAUUCCAUGGAGUUUCUGGUGAGGCGGAGGAGAGAGAAGGCAACAGUGUUUUGGCUUUUUUUUCCCAAUGAUCCGGUCGUCAAAUUGGCGAUCCGAGACCGAUGAUGAACUCAGAACGACGAGAUUUACUUGUUUUCUUAAAGGGUAACUUUUUUUGUUUAAAUACUCAAAUUCGAGACCUUGAAGAAAAAUUAUCUUAUAAUUAGUAUUGAAAUUCAAUUUUGUCACGCUUAGAA
rnacentral:misc_RNA from 1 species